UAGUCUUAACGAUGGAUGUCUUGGUUCUUACAGCGAUGAAGGCCGCAGCAAAAUGCGAUAAGCAAUGAAAAUUGCAGUGACCCUAAAUCAUCAGAAUGCUGAAUGUAAACUACACCAAUUGUUCUGCAAUAUGGUACUCCUUCAUAGCAUGA
rnacentral:rRNA from 1 species